GACAGAGGUGCCAAGCGUUAGGCGGAAUCACUGGGCUUAAAGCGUGUGUAGGCGGGUGCCUAAGUACCUUGUGAAAUCCCACGGCUCAACCGUGGAUCUGCUGGGUAUACUGGGUGCCUUGGGUCAUCUAGGGGCUGCCGGAACAAAUGGUGGAGCGGUGAAAUGCGUAGAUAUCAUUUGGAACGCCAACGGCGAAAGCAGGCAGCUGGGGAUGCACCGACGCUGAGACACGAAAGCCAGGGGAGCGAACGGG
rnacentral:rRNA from 1 species